rnacentral:piRNA from 1 species
UGCAUCGAUGUUCAUAAGAGAAA